AUAUAUAUAUAUAUAUUGGACUAGGGAAAUAUGUGCAAGAUGAAAAGGGGAUGUCAUAUUAUAUGUUUUGAUUUUAUGCGAAGAAAGGAUAGUCUUGAUCCGUUGAUAUCUAUCAAGAUCUAUCAUUGACAUAUAUACAAUCAAGAAGACAUACAAUAUGAAGCCAAGUGACAGUUCAAGUACUUGAGAAGCAUCCAGAUAUUUCCAAACAAAUAAGUGACUCAGAAUGAAGGAUUCCCGAGAUUAUAGAAAUCUAGUUGAAGAACUUCCAAAUAUACAAGACUCAGAAUAAUUUGAAAGAUUCCAAGAGCUUCAAUUUCAGGGAGUAGAAGAUCAACAGACUGGUGAUGACAAUAAACAUGCAAAUUAAUGGACGCGGUCUGAAGAAAGUUAACCAACCAAGAAAACAUUUGUUCUGAAGACUAUUGAUGUAAUUUAGAAGGGAAUCAUCUCUUCCAUCCAUAUAUACAAAAAAACCCCUAUGUUAUCAUAAAUCAUAGGUAGAGCGAAUUAUCAAAGAAUACACUAAUAUGAGGUUAUAUGUAUAUAAUGAGAGCGGUUAUACCUAUAGACAUCAUACUAUUAUGGAGCAAUGCAUGGAGUAACAAUUUCAUGAAGACAAGAGCUCCUAUUGGUUAAGUGGCACAACCAAUCAAGAAGAAUAAAUGAAGCUUCAGAAGGAACAAAAUAUUCAUGGAAUAUUUGUUGCCGCGCUGAAUGAAGAUAUUUUUUCCAAGUAUACAAGUACUUACAUUAA